UACGUAGGGUGCGAGCGUUACUCGGAAUUACUGGGCGUAAAGCGUGCGCAGGCGGUAAGUUAAGUCUGAUGUGAAAGCCCCGGGCUCAACCUGGGAACGGCAUUGGAAACUGGCUUGCUAGAGUGUGGCAGAGGGGGGUGGAAUUCCGCGUGUAGCAGUGAAAUGCGUAGAGAUGCGGAGGAACACCGAUGGCGAAGGCAGCCCCCUGGGCCAACACUGACGCUCAGGCACGAAAGCGUGGGGAGCAAACAGG
rnacentral:rRNA from 1 species